AUGGUUAGGAGUGUACCGAUUGGUGAGAAGCUCUUCAUAGGAGGAGACCUCAAUGGCCACGUGGGUACAUCUAACACAGGUUUUGUAGGGGCGCAUGGGGGCUUUGGCUAUGGCAUCAGGAAUCAAGAAGGAGAAGAUGUCUUAAGCUUUGCUCUAGCCUACAACAUGAUUGUAGCUAACACCCUCUUUAGAAAGAGAGAAUCACAUCUGGUGACUUUUAGUAGUGGCCAACACUCUAGCCAGAUUGAUUUCAUCCUCUCGAGAAGAGAAGAUAAGCGUGCGUGCCUAGACUGUAAGGUGAUACCUGGGGAGAGUGUUGUACCCCAACAUAAGCUGGUGGUUGCUGACUUCCGCUUUCGGAUUCGUGUCCAGCGGGAUAAGCGUGCCAAGGUCGCUAGAACAAAGUGGUGGAAGCUCAAGGGGGAGGUAGCUCAGGUGUUCAAGGAGAGAGUAUUUAAGGAGGGCCCUUGGGAGGAAGGAGGGGAUGCGGACAAUGUGUGGAUGAAGAUGGCGACUUGCAUUCGUAAGGUGGCCUCGGAGGAGUUUGGAGUGUCCAGGGGAAGGAGAAGCGAAGAUAAGGAUACCUGGUGGUGGAAUGAUGAUGUCCAGAAGGCGCUUAAAGAGAAGAAAGAUUGCUUCAGACGCCUAUACCUGGAUAGGAGUGCAGACAACAUAGAGAAGUACAAGAUGGCGAAGAAGGCCGCAAAGCGAGCUGUUGGUGAAGCAAGGGGUCGGGCAUAUGAGGACCUCUACCAACGGUUAGGCACGAAGGAAGGUGAAAGGGACAUCUAUAAGAUGGCUAAGAUCCGGGAGAGGAAGACGAGGGAUAUUGGCCAAGUCAAAUGCAUCAAGGACGGAGCAGGCCAACUCUUGGUGAAGGACGAAGAGAUUAAGCAUAGAUGGCGGGAGUACUUCGACAAGUUGUUCAAUGGGGAGAAUGAGAGUUCUACCAUUGAACUGAAUGACUCCUUUGAUGAGACCAGCAUGCGUUUUGUGCGGCGCAUCCAGGAGUCUGAGGUGAAGGAGGCUUUAAAAAGGAUGAAAGGAGGCAAGGCGAUGGGCCCUGAUUGUAUCCCCAUUGAGGUGUGGAAAGGUCUCGGGGACAUAGCGAUAGUAUGGCUAACCAAGCUUUUCAACCUCAUUUUUCGGGCAAACAAGAUGCCAGAAGAAUGGAGACGGAGUAUAUUAGUACCAAUCUUCAAGAACAAGGGGGAUGUUCAGAGUUGUACUAAUUACCGUGGAAUUAAGCUGAUGAGCCAUAUAAUGAAGCUAUGGGAGAGAGUCAUUGAGCACCGCUUAAGAAGAAUGACAAGCGUGACCAAAAAUCAGUUUGGUUUCAUGCCUGGGAGGUCGACCAUGGAAGCCAUUUUCUUGGUACGACAACUUAUGGAGAGAUAUAGGGAGCAUAAGAAGGACUUGCAUAUGGUGUUCAUUGACUUGGAGAAGGCCUAUGAUAAGAUACCGCGGAAUGUCAUGUGGUGGGCCUUGGAGAAACACAAAGUCCCAGCAAAGUACAUUACCCUCAUCAAGGACAUGUACAAUAAUGUUGUGACAAGUGUUCGAACAAGUGAUGUCGACACCGAUGACUUCCCGAUUAAGAUAGGACUGCAUCAGGGGUCAGCUUUGAGCCCUUAUCUUUUUGCAUUGGUGAUGGAUGAGGUCACAAGGGGUAUACAAGGAGAUAUCCCAUGGUGUAUGCUCUUUGCGGAUGAUGUGGUGCUAGUUGACGAUAGUCGGACGGGGGUAAAUAGGAAGCUAGAGUUAUGGAGACAAACCUUGGAAUCGAAAGGGUUUAGGCUUAGUAGAACUAAAACCGAGUACUACUAG
rnacentral:rRNA from 1 species